AGGCAAAUGGUGGUCACACCAGAUACUGACUGGUUUAUAUAUACCAUGAUCAGUAGGCUCAAUUCAUGAAAUGUCAGAGCUAAGCCGUUUGUUUCAUUUUUUGGGUUUGAUGAGGUGUUUGGCUACUUAGAACUCUUAUCAAGCAUUUAAAAUUGUAUCACUGGCAUGAGAUGUCUGUAAAUUUCAAUGUAAGCCCUCGAUCGCUUGGUGAUUUAGCCAGGGAAUGAGUCAAACCAUGUUAAGUGUCAUUUCUGUGUAUCUACAGGUGGGAAGCCCACUGGAGUGCUGUGUGGAGAACCCUCUGCCCCACUGAGGAGAUGUGCUGCCCAGUCGUCCUCCAACAACCACGAAGACUCCAACGCCGGGAAUGGAGACAAUGACAUGGGAAAUGCUGAUAACGCUGUUGAGGUCGUUCCCAGCCCGCCGCAGGGGCUUCCCAGCCCGCCGCAGGGGCUUCCCAGCCCGCCGCAGGGGCUUCCCAGCCCGCCGCAGGGAUGACGUCAGGCCGCAUCCUGGGUUGAGGUCCUUCUCUUUCUCAGAACUCCGCCGUCCUCUCCCUCCCCGAGUCUAUUGUUUUGAUACGUUUUUUUGGAUAAUGAUGUAGGUGCAGAGGCCAUUCCUGCUCCAGAUCAGAGGGACGAGACGCUCCAGCUGUCAGGAGGGUUCUCCCAGCCUGCCGCAGGGAUGCUAUCAGGCCACAGGAACUCCCCAGAGGGCAUGUCCAGCCUCAUCCUGGGUUGAGGUCUCCUUCCUUUCCUAUCGCUCUCUUUCUCCGAACUCUGCCAUCCUAUUCACAAACCGUUCAUUUGAGUACAGGAUUUUUGUCCCACCCUCCUCUUCCUUUCCUCCCUCCCCGAGUCCAUUGUUUUGAUACCUGCUCUUUUUUAAUAUUUGUAAGAGUUAUUUGACAGAAGCACUUUAUGUACCUGAUCCAAGCCCCUGGCAUCUGUAGUGCUGUAGUCACAGGCCUGCUGGGUGUAAAGGGCAUGAGGUUUAAGUUGUCCCUCACUACAUCCCGGUGCCAAUGGAAACCUGUUGAUGCUGCUUGUCUCCUCUUUGUUUCCGUUGAUAUUGAUAUUGAUCGCGUAUGAUAAGUAAUACAAUGACAUAUGAUACAAUAAAUCCAACUGGGUUGAGUUCCCUCUCCUUCCUUCCCUACCUCUCUCUUUCUCCAGACUCCAUCCCGUCCUCCUCUUCCUCUGCUUGCUAAGGGCAAAUAGAGCCACUCUACAACUUGUUACUAAUCCAAUCACAGUAGGGAACAAUCAAACAAGAGCUAAGGAUUUAUAAAAUAAUAAUAAUUCUAGUUAUAUUAUUCUUUUCAACUUUGUUCUGAUUUAAUAUCUUCAGUUUUGUUGGAAAGGAAAGGGUUAACACUGAAGAUUUAAAAAAAUAUCCAAUCAGGAUUUUUCUUUGGUGGUCUUUGGGGAGAUAAAUAUAGCUAGCUAGGCCAUCAGAACCUAGAUAGAGAAAGAUUUUGGGGUGAAACAAUUGAGUGAAUCAACCAAUCACAUUUGGAUUUGAAAUGGGUGGGACCGGUUUUACAACAAAAAAACGUAUGGAUACUUCUGCCUUCCAGAAGGCCAACAGGUGUUUAAAUCAGGUUUAUUUUUGGGUCUGAAUUAAAGUU